CUCCUGAAUUUCCUGUUACAGGUAGUGGAUUCGAGAGGCACACCAACACCAGCAGAUGAGUCUCAGUUUAAUACUUGGGAUAUUAUAACAGUAAGUUAUAGCUCCAGAAGUCAGUCACCAGCAGCAGAUGUCACACAGUUAUAAAAUGGGAAACUUGAAGAAUAAGUUAUAGCUCCAGAAAACCGCCACCAGCAGCAGAUGUCACAGUUAUAAAAUGGGAAACUUGAAGAAUAAGCUCCAGAAGUCAGCAGCAGCAGACAUCACACAGCCAUAAUGCGAGAAGCUUGAAGAAUAAUGUGUUAUGGCUCCGAUAGUCUUCCAGCAGCAGCAAAUGUUUCACAGUCCUAUAGAGGCAAACUUGAAGUAUGAGGUAAUAGUGUUUUGCAUAGAAUGGCAAACUUGACCUUUCACUUAAAAUGGAGGUACAUUUGCACUGAGUUUAAUGUUAUGACACGUGAAUGGAUUACCAGUGAUGUAUAUGUAAAUACUGGAAUUUGUAACUUAGAACUUAAUUUCAGUAUCGGCUUUGAAAUUUGGUCACUGGAUACAACUAUAUUAUCUUUCAUGUUGAUAGCAGCAAUCAUCAGAUUGCAAUCCAGUUUAGUUCCUGUGAGGCAUGAGAUGUCAAAAAUACUUGUGGGUUAUUGGUAGCCUGUGUCGAGGCAUGUGGCACCUCAAAGUUUGUAAGUACAGUAGCAUUUUGUUUUCUGCUUUACUUAAAAAUUGUUAGCUGUAGCACCCAUUCUGACAUUUAAUUAUUUUGAAUUUCAAGUUUCUUAAAAUAAUACUGACAUCAGUUUCAUGUGUGUUAACACUAAUCC
rnacentral:lncRNA from 1 species